AACAAAUAAAGAAGGUAUAUCUC
rnacentral:snRNA from 1 species